rnacentral:lncRNA from 12 species
GACAAAAGCUUAAGAGAGCUUCAUGAUUAUGAAUAUAAUAUAUCCUUAAACCAUCAUGAAGCUGUGGAAGACACCACAGUAGUACAUAACUCCCUGAGAAACAGAAGUGGUUUAGCCUUUCAGCUGAUCUCAUUUCAUCUCAGGUGAGCCAGCGACCCCCCUCAUCCCCCUCGGGACAUGCCCCAGUGCUGUUUUCAUUAACUUUCCCCUGGUGUUUGUUUGGAUAUUCAGAUGAUGAUGAAGUGGAUGUUGUUCUCAUUAUUCCUGCCUCAGGAUGUGGUGGACCACCAUCUGCAGAUGCCGUCAGGUUUAUCAAUCACAAAGAGGGAAACAGGCAUCUGAAAGUGGCUGGCAAUCAAGAAUACUACAGGAAGCUUGCUUUUGGAAGGACAUAUAUUCUUACCUGGUUCCUAUUUCCUUAUGAAUUUUCUUGGCUUAAUGCAUUUAGUUUUAUAAUUUGUGUUCUGCUCCCACCACUAAUUUAUUCCCUUGCUUACCAAUUUAUCCAGAUAAAGGUCUUGAGACUACAAAACGUAACGAUGAGUCAUUCCAAACACUAUUUCUUAUGUUUACUUUGCGCUGACAAUAGCUAG